rnacentral:rRNA from 1 species
GAUCAUGGCUCAGAUUGAACGCUGGCGGUAUGCUUAACGCAUGCAAGUCGAGCGAUCGUAGCAAUACGGGAGCGGCAAACGGGGUAGGAAUACAUCGGAACGUACCUUUUGGUUGAGAAUAGCGUUGGGAAACUGACGGUAAUACUCAAUAAAGUCGAGAGACCAAAGGUUUACUGCCGGAAGAGCGGCCGAUGCGAUAUUAGGUAGUUGGUGGGGUAAUGGCCUACCAAGCCUGAGAUGUCUAGGGGGUGUGAGAGCAUGGCCCCCACCACUGGGACUGAGAUACUGCCCAGACACCUACGGGUGGCUGCAGUCGAGGAUCUUCGUCAAUGGGCGAAAGCCUGAACGAGCGACGCCGCGUGCGGGGAUGAAGGCCCUUGGGUUGUAAACCGCUGUCAGGGGGGAUGAAACCGUAAGGUUGACAGAGCCCCAGAGGAAGCACGGGCUAAGUUCGUGCCAGCAGCCGCGGUAAUACGAACUGUGCGAACGUUACUCGGAAUCACUGGGCUUACGAGGGUG